rnacentral:misc_RNA from 1 species
GGAAGUAAAAGCGUAACAAGGUUUCCGUAGGUGAACCUGCGGAAGGAUCAUUAUUGUAUAACCGAGGUGCAAGGGCUGUCGCUGACCCGAAAGGUCGUGCACGCCCGAGUGCCCUCACACACAUCCAUCUCACCCCUAUGUGCACCACCGCGUGGGUCCCCCUUUGGCUUGUUCGGAGGGGGGCUUACGUUUUCACACAAACUUUGUAUGCAGUGUAGAAUGUAUUUUUUGUUUUUGCGAUCACGCAAUCAAUACAACUUUCAACAACGGAUCUCUUGGCUCUC